GGUAGUGUGGAUUGGGGUAUUUAAAAUGUAAUGAUGAAGAUGGUGCAGAAUGUGAAUUCAAGAUCCAUCCAUGUCAAUGUACUAACGAUUUCUAGGUUCAUGUUGCAUAGAGCAGCAGCAGCAAAGGCGUCUAAUUUUUGGCCCCAUAAUUGGUUUGUAUGAUGGGUGGAGCUUGGUGGAUGCUGGUGUCAUUGCUGUCACAUGUGUACUCGUACAGUAUCUGUUGUAUGUCUGAGUCUAUGUUUUCGGCUUAUACCAAAAAAAAAAAUUAUUUUCCACAUGGCUCUUCUUUUGUCUUUUGCACAUGCAAUGAAUGAGGAUGUAUGUCCACAUAAGCAGACAUGUCACGAUGAGAAAAAAGUUUUCUAUUGGCUAUCUGAAUCAAACCUCCAAACUUGUAAACCAUUUCAUUAUUAAUUCGUAUCCUUAUUCAUUUAUCUAAAGAACUGUUAUUAAUUUAUUUCUUCAUGAAAGGGUGUACCAGUUUCGAACAGAAUUCUAGGAUGUUUUCCCUGUUAUCGCAAAGGUGAAGUUGAUUUUUUUGCAUGCUUUAAAAUUACAUAUGUAUAUAAUUAAAAGACAUGCUAUAAUUAAUUAUACAUUUUUUUAGCAUAAAAUAAUUAUCCUAAAUAUAAUAAAAAUAUUGAAUAGUAUCAAUUCAAAUUAUUGGAUAGUGUUAAUGUAGAAAACUAACUAAAAAUAAGCCACUUUCAAGAUAAAUUACAUGUUUUAUGCAUGAUAUUAAUUUCACCUAGACGUACAUUUGACAGAAAACAAUUCAAUUUGAUUUUAAUACAAGCAAAUUCACUUGUAAUAGGUGAAUGGGAUCAUUAUCAAAAUUAGAGAUAGCAAAAAAUCUAGCACUUGCAGAUAUUUGUGGGCACUCAGCUCCUUAACAAAUGAUCAAUAAAGGUUUUACUGUUCCAAAUACUACUCCAAUCUACUGUAGAGGAUCUGCAUUCUACUUAAAUUCCAUCAUUAUAUACAAAAUAAUUUAUUUUAAUUUAUUUAGUAAAAAUAUAUUUCAAUUUUUUUUUCAUAUAAAUAUGUUUCAAAAUUAUUUUUUUUAAUAUAAAUGUGUUUUAAAAUUUCUUAUUUUUAAUUUAUUUUUUUACUUGUAAAAUUUGUUGAUACUCACCUAACAGAUAUCCGUGCAAAUAUGGACAAGUGAUGAGGGACUCCUACCUGUAUUUGUCCUGCCUUGCAUCCCUACUCAAAAUAAUUCACUUAUGCAUACUCAUCUACCAUUUUUCACUAAGUUUUACUUUAUUCUUCUUAAGCAAUGGAAGGAAACCGACAAAAGGGAACAAAUAAUAUACAGUAGAUGAUAAAUGAAUUACUUAACAUAAACUUUACUUUUUUAGUUUGCAAUUCAAGAAUUGUUACUAUGAGAAUUACUUUAUUUGACCAUCUUUAGCUCAAGGAUUAGUUUCUUAGUUAUGUUUAUAGGAAUGCCUUAUCAAAUAUUAAAAACUUAAAUAUGUUUUUAAUUUUCAUAUAUUAAUGGUUUUUCAUUUUUUGUCCAUACAAGUUUAUUUUUUAAUGUAAGUUUAUGUUUUUUUAAUUUUGGUUUCUAUCAGAUAUUUUGCAAGAAUUUGUAAGCAUUUACGAGACUAAAAUUAAAAAAAUAAACUUAUAUGAACCAAAAUUUUUUAAAAAAUAUUAACGUACAGAAAUAAAAAAUAUACAUGUCUAUAAGAAAUAUCAUGUUGAAAAAUUAUCUUCUAAUACAUAAAAACGAUUAUAUUUCCAUCUAAAACGUAAAUCUCCCAUAAUGUAGAUAUGAAAAAUAUUGUUGAAUGUAUUUACACAAUGAAUGAAGAAUCUAGAAAAUAUUGUAUUUAUGAUACUGAAAAAAUGAUUUAAAAUUAUUUUGUAAUAAAUUAAUUUUAAUAUAAUGCAUUAGUAAAUUAAAUGCUUCAGGACUUUCAUAGAAAUAUAAAUUAAUACCCUCGUCCUUGAAAAAUUAAUUGUUUUGAUAAGUUGAUUUCAAUCAUAUUGAUGCUUGUUUAUCAACUACAUUUUCAACAACUUUUUUGGCAGCGAACGAAACCAAUUAUUUUCGUUCAUAUAUCACUUGUCCCAUAAUGUCAUUGUAAUAUUCAUAUCUCUAUUUCUCUCUAGAAUUUUAAUUGUAUAAUCAUAUAAUUUCAUAAAAGUAGAAAACAUCAUUUUGGCAUCAAAUUGAAGCUUUCCACUUGCGAAUUCAAUGGCCAACCGGAAUUUCCAAACGUUAGCUUAAUGCAUGUCUACUUCAAAAUAGCAUUAAGUUAGAACUACAUAUAUUUCAUUGAACUAGUCGUUCAAAUCUAAGGAUUUGUUUUGUAGAUAUACAUACUUACAAUACAACAACCCAUUUCUACUUGAUAUUCUCUAACUAGCCAUACAACAGAUAUUUGGAGCCUACACAAGUUAGAGGUUGUUAGCAAACUAGCACGGCUUUUGGAAGGCAAGCCUGGCCAUCAAUUGCCAAGUCUGGGCCACAUCCAAAUCACCAAGGACUUUAAAACCCAACAACCCCUUACUUAUCCUACGCAAUAUAGAGCAUAUGUUCAUUAUUUUCUUCUCUUCCCCUGCCACAAUAGCAUGAACUGCUUUAAUAAAAACGCAGCAAGAAACUAUGUAAUCAACAAGGAAUAUAACACAUUUAGUAAGUGUGCAUACCGUGCUUGCAUAAUCGUCCAUGGUUAACUGCUUGCGCUUCUUCAAAGAAGAUGGACUCUCUGUCUGUCUUGCCAAAGCACGCUUCGAUGGGGUCAUGCUCUGAAAUAUUAGUUAAACUUGAGUAUGAGAAAAAUUCAUAUUCAAAUUCUAUACUAUUAACACACAAUAUGACGAGAAACUAACUUUGGCAAGUUUCUUCUCUUUGCGAGCUUGUCUCUCCCUCUCAUCAUAUUCUUGGUUUUCCUUUUCUACCAGUCGAAUGAGGGUGUCACACCUCCUAGCCAGUUCUUGAGUGGUGCGAGAUUUGACAAACCAAUCAAAUCGAAACAAGGGUGAUGUUCGAAAUGCUGCCUUUAACUCAUCCCAGUUCCCAUAGCCAAGUUUGUGCACCAUGCAUAUCUGUAAAUUUAUAGCAAUUUUUUUAGAAACCGAUAGAAGGAUGAUGGAGCUAGACCUAGAAAGAAAAAAAAAAUUGAAAGACAUAAAAUUUGUACCAUGAAUCUGUCACAUUCUUCAUUGUACAACUUCCCUUUGUUUUGCCCAUACUGUAUCUUCAACUCUAGCCACGGAUUCUUGUAGCGGUCCAACUUCUUUCCAAUAGCUUUCAUGAUCUCAUCUUUCCGAGAAAUUCUUGCCUCCCCCCUUUCAAUGUUUUUAAUAAUUCUGUCAUAAUCUGCAGACAAUGAUUCAAAAUGCACAAAUUAGGCAGAACCUUGACAUUCUAAACAGAAAGUAAUUUCCAAAAAAAGUUAAUAACAAAGCCUUAUCCCACUAGGUGAAUAUGAACACCUACACACAUGCACGAUAAAAAGAAUCAAUACAGAAAUGUGCUGCAUUUUAACUCAACACAGCACAGAAUAAGUCCAAAUCAAAAUAUGAAUCACUCAAGUUGCUGGUUAAGCAAAAUGAUUUUUGCCAAAAGACUACUACAAACUAGCAGAUAUAAACAUUCAUUUGGAUUUGGCUAAGUAUUUUUCUUCCACACUUAAAUAAUCAACAAAAUCCAUAGAAGAAUUGGCUGUAACUGUAACUGUAACAUACCAUUUAAUUCCUUGUAUCUUUCUUUAAAGACCUUUGCAUAUCUUUCAACUUCCUCCUCGGUUUUUCCUUCCAUCUCAGAAGCAAUACUUUGUAUAUCAUUUCGGCCAUAUUUUUCGCAGGCCCUAAUGAAAGUAUUAAAAUCCCUCCGGCUCCAUGAAGAAAAUCCCUAUAUUAACCAAAUAAUAAAAAUAAAAAAGGGUCCAUGUGAAAGCCUAGUUUGCAAAAAAAGGGGAAAAAUGUUUACCUCUUCUAGCAAGCGCUCCUUUUCUUCCAACUCUUCAGCUGUCAAUGGAUCUCCCACCUCUAAACAUUCAUUUCAUCACAAUUAAAAUUAACAUACAUGUAGAAAGGAGGAGUCAAAGUACUAGUCUGGAGAGUACCCACAUACCUUCUGGUUCAUCAACAUCUAUUGAAUCCUUUAUCUGAUUCCUCUGGUGUGUUUGCUGCAAUUUUAUAAAAUAAUAAGCACCAAACAAUAUACCAAUUUGUUGAGCUAAAGCUAAAUCUAAAAAGCUAAAAACAUGAACUGUAGCAAAUUCUUUUUUGCUUACACCUACCAUGAGAUAGCGUACUUCCUUUUCAUACAGCUCACUCAACCUUUGUGUGUUGAAAAAUUGGAAAUCAUGCCUGGAGGUCAAAGAACAAAAAAAUAUCAGUAAGUAAAUAACGGAGGUACUAUGCUAACUGUUAAGAAGAAAAAUCAAGUGUAGAAGCUUACAACUGGGGCAUCCUAGGAAUACGGGGCUCUUUUGGUUUGGUAGGACCACCUUGGCGCAUUGUUUGCUUGAAGUAUUCAGACUCUGAGUAACUAUGAGCAAGAACCCCAGAAAAAGAAAACCAUCAUCUUGUCAUAAAAGCAAAAUACCAAAUCAAUAUGGAUGCAUAAAAUGUAAAGGGCAACGCUUACUUGCGCUUCCGCUCCCUUUUGGGUGGUUCAAUCCAGUUCUCACUCACAAUUUUUUUUAUAUCAAAUCUGCUUUCAUCCUUUAUUUAAAAAGGGAAAUUGAUAUGCCAAUGUCAGUUAAAUAGAUAACAAGGGAAAGGAGGAGAGUAGGGUUGAUACAAAGCAAUACAAAAAGUUGCCAAAGAUAAAACAAUGUGUCAUGUUUACCUUCUCAUCAUCAAAAUCAUAUAACUCGGCAGCUACAAAAAGAAAGCACCAGUAUUAGUAACUAUAAACUACAGACAGAAGAAAGCAUAAAACUUGUAAAGAUCAUGCCAAUAUUGUUUUUAAAGCUAGAAUUAUAGGCACAUACUGUCAUCCAUCUUAAAUUUGAUGGCAUCUUCAGUAAAUUUCUUCAUCUUGGCAUCUAGCUCAGCAGUUGCCUCCUCUCCUUUAGCAAUAAUUCUAUCAAUAUCUUCAUCUGUAAUUGUACUAUCCUUGGAACUGAAAACCAUUUCAGCCCCAAAUCUAACCAUUUGAAGCAAUUCAUCUUUAUUUACCGCUGCACAUAAAAGCCAAUGGAACCAUAUUAGACAAUCCACACAACUUUCAGCAAAGAAACAAGAAAAGUUAUUCAUUGAAUUCCUACUCUUCUGCUCAGCCAAUCGCCCUUGCUGAAUCACCAGAGCAUCAAGUGCAAGCUUUUUGUAGGCCCUUUCAAUGACUUUCUCUUCUAUUGUAUACUGUACCAUUACAAAUUACAAUGACGAGAUGAGAUACUAACACACACAGAGUGAACAAUGAAUUGGAAAUUAAAAUAAAGUUUAAAAUUGCAAACCUCAGUACAAAAUCGGAAAACUUGAACUUCUUUCUUUUGACCAAUCCUAUGAGCACGAUCCUGAGCCUGCAAGUCAACUUGUGGGUUCCUGUUGUAAAAGCACCAACCAUCAACAAAAUAAUUUUGGUACAGAUAUAAAUCAGAUGGCUGAGUCCAUAACUACUUGAAAUACUGACCAGUCACUAUCGUACAGAAUGACAACAUCAGCAGUAGCAAGAUUAAUACCAAGACCUCCAGCACGAGUUGAUAACAAGAAGACAAAUUUCUCACUUCCUGGUUUGUUGAAAGCAUCAAUGGAAGCAUCUCGAUCAUCCCCACCAGUAUUUCCAUCAAUGCGACAAUAUUGAUAUCCACGAAACAUUAAAUAAUCUUCGAGUAUGUCUAGCAGCCUAGUCAUCUGGGGAGAAAAGCCACAAAUUAGGUACAGAAGAAAAUUCAAAAGGCAGAAAUAAAUGAGAGCAAACAAAAACAGGUUGCAAAAUAUAAGGCAUUCACAAUCAUCAGCGACAAGAAUCACAUUCUGACAGAACUGACCUGUGAAAAUAUAAGGACCCUAGAAUCGCGCUCUUUCAAUUUAGGAAGUAACUUAUCCAAAAGAACCAUUUUACCUGGAAACAAUAUUUUUACAACAUGAAAUAAUCUCAGAUUUUAUUCAUCAACCUAAAAAGAAUGUCCGCAGUAUCUCUUAAUGUAUGUAGAGUUUACCAGCGUUUUCAAUAAGAUGAUCUCCUGUAGUGAAGGGAGGACCAGGUUCAGCACCUUGGAAAAGAUAUGGAUGAUUACAACAUUUGCGGAGUUGCAUAGCUAUGUUCAGGAGGCGCUUCCGUUCACCACCAGCGUUUACAACCUCAAGAUCCUUCUGAAGUAGGGCUCUAUAAUACUGUUUCUGCAUUUGGGACAUGCCUACUUUAAGAAUAGUUUCCUUUUUUGGUGGCAAUCCUUUCUCAACAUCUGACUUCAACCUUCGAAGGAGAAAUGGUCGGAGGACCUUGAUAUACAUAGAAAAUGAAAAUGACAAUUAUGUGCCAGAUUAACAUCAAGGACUUCCAACAAUCAAAAGAAGGUUCUGUAAUUUACCUUGUGUAAUUGUUGAACAACCUCCUGUUGAUCAUUUUCACCAGAGAUUUGAAACCAUUCAUCAAAAGUUUCAGCAGAACUAAAAAUUUCGGGCAGAAGAAAGUUGAGAAGAGACCAGAGUUCAUGAAGGUUAUUCUGUGCCAAUAAAAGUGAUAAUAGACACUAGUAAAUAUUUGAGGAUGCAUACAAACAAACAAAAAAAAUAAUUAAGAUUUCAAAACAAGGUAGAAAAGCAUAUAAUUAAGAAAUUUAAGCUGCUAGACAGUUGAAAACCAACAACACCAAAGAACAAUAUUAAGUUUUAACCAAGCUAUGAAUCAUUUAUUCAAUCUUAAUUGACUGUUUAAGAAAAAUCUUAUCAGAAAAACAUAAUGCCUAAUGCAUCACCUCUAAUGAAAUGUUGCUACAUACCACAUAGUAAAGGUUCCCCAGAAGAAUAGCUAAUUAUAUUUUAAUUUUUUUUUUCCUUACUCAAAUAGCAAUUUCCAAAACUGAUGCUAUUCACUCCCCUCCAGCACUACUACAACUAAGGAGGAUCAUAAUAGUAUGACAAAUUUAGAAUUUAAACAAUGCAGCCAGUGAGUGUAUACUCUGUAAGUUAAGUUAACUUACAGAGUAUACACUCACAUAGCCCAACCCUCCAUCACUACUAGCAGUUUCUUUAUUUCAAAAUUCACUGAGAUUAGUAUAGAAUACAGAUGAGAUCACACUAAUUUCAAUUAAAUUGAGAAAAUUGGCACCACACCACCUCCAUGUUUAUUAGUAUGGACCAAUAAAUUAAACAAAUUAAAGAUAAGAAAAAACCAUUCUUCAGGUGACUACAUCAUUAUGGAUAAUACAACAAGUCAUACCUGAAGUGGCGUGCCAGUAAUAAGGAGACGGUAGUUUGUACUGUAGAGCCUCAUUGUUUUGGACAGCAAGGAAUUCUCAUUCUUGAUUCGAUGAGCUUCAUCAAUAAUUAUGUAGCGCCAACUAAAUCGACGCAAAGCAGACUUCUCCUUGAUUGCCAUUUCAAAACUUGUGACACAAACAUCAAACUUCCCGGCAACCAACAAUUCAUCUCUGAUAUGUCUCUGUAGCAAGUCAAAACCAUUAGGAAAAACAGUUCAAAUUAAGCAUCAACUGUAACCUUUGCCACAAUAAUUCAACUCAGUAAAGAUGGUCUUACCCUUUCAUCGGGGUUGCCAAGAAACUUGAUUGCACGAAGAACAGGACAAAAGCGCCGAAUCUCAUUCAUCCAAUUUCCAAGAGUAGAUUUUGGAGCAACCACCAUAUGAGGACCUUUGAUUCCUCGGAACUCGUGCAAAUAACCUAAUAAGGAUAUAGUUUGCAAUGUUUUACCAAGCCCCUGCAAAUCACAUCUAUUUGUCAUUACUUAUCUAAACCAACUUAUCAACAUCUAAGCCUUACCCCUAUUAGUGGGAUAACUAAAUCACCUCAGUCUAUCAAAUUACACAUGACAAAGCAACUUGCAUUUACAUGCAGUUAAUUCAAUUAGACACAACUGCAAGCCCACCAAACACCUACCAUUUCAUCAGCCAGAAUUCCAUUUAUUCCAUUCUCAUACAAUCGUAUGAGCCAGUUUAGUCCAGCCAGCUGGUAAUCCCUCAUUUUCCCUUGGAUACCUGUAAUGAAUAAAAAACAAGCAAUGAGCAUUCAAGACACAAGAAAAAAAAAUCAAAAAUACUAUAAAUGAAUAGAUCCACGUAUUUGUUAGACAAUACAACCCCCCUCCAAAAAAAAAUGUUGAUUUAAGAGUAAUCCAUCAGAUGUCAACAACAACAAAGAAAGCAUCUAGCAGGAAGGGUGCACAAGAAAAAGAUUCCAUGAUGCGUGUCUAUAACACAUGUAGCCCAAUGAGAAAUCCAGAAACCAGAAUAGAGGGUGUCUACCACCAGAAUAACAGAAUAAAAGUAUAAUGUACUGCAUAUCUUCUCUAUAAGUUUAUUCAAUUAAUGCAUCCUUAUCCAGCAUUAUGAUGUGUAUACACAUAUAUAGCCUAUAGAAGUCAAACAAAGCAUGUUAUGUCAAAUAAAGCAAAUAUGCCAGCCCUAUAAUAUAUAAUACAUUGGCAUAUUGAAUACAAAAAGGGAAGAGUUUGUGGUACAACUGCACAAUGUGAGAUGCUUAAAAUAGAGCCUUCAAAUCCAUGAAAAAAAGCACAUGCAUAGAAAGAAAGAACACUUACAUGAUGGUUGUGUCACCAGACGUGUGUUUGCUAGACCAUCUUCUUCUCCUUUUAGGUAUUCUUCAUCUUCUUCUUCCUCGGUGAAAUUGGAUGCAUGGCGACCCCUUAAUGCAUAAACAUAAAAUGUUAGGAUAAGUUCCUUUAUGCAGCAAAAAGUCAGUGUUGUCUCUUUAGUGCUCUUCUGAAAUCAGACUCAGAGAACCACCAGUAGCUCUGCUAUGAUGUUAACAUAAAAGACAAAUGUAUCAAUUUUUAGAUUAGUUGAUGCUAGUUUAUCUCUAUGAUUUCCUUGGCCACCUAGCAUAUAAGAAUUUAUAUGCACCCUUUUAAAGAACUUUAAACUUUUGAAGGUAUAACUUAUAAUGUCAUCUAGACGCCAAAUGCAAUAAAAUUCAGAGCAAGAACAAAGGAAAAAGAGGAGACAAAUUGACAUGGACAUGGGGUAAUUCACAUAAAUUUUAGGAAUAUACCUUCCCCUUGACUUCUUCUGAGACGAAGAUUGAUCCCCUUUUGCAAAAUGAGCAAACAGCUCAGUCUGCUGCAAGAGAUACUUCAGACGCCCCUUCCCUCUAUUGUUCUGCAUUAGUUGUCGGUUCAUUUACUUAGCGAUCAUAUCAAUACACUAUAAUACAAAAAGAAGUUGAAUUGUCACAGAACUAAACGUACCAUGUCAGCGUCAAUGGCCGCAUUCUGUACAUCCAGUAUCUCCUGAAUCUUCUGUUUCUUCAUUUUCUGCAUUUCUUUUAAUCUCGCCUUCUCUCGCUUGCUAAUUUCGGGAUCAACAUUAUCCCCAUCCUAUAGUCAAACAACAAACGCUUAGGCUUUAGGUUUCCCCUUAAAUUCGCGAGCCAAACAAAAACAAGUUAAUUCGCGAGCACGUUGCUUCUCACACUCUCUCUCUUCAGCAUACACCGCAUUUUCACGGACACACAAGGCAAGUAAACACAACUUCAAAUACAGAAUAACAGUCUCGAAUCUCGAUAGCAACUCAAGCAUGAGCAAAGAAGCAGUAAAGUAUAAACCCUAGAACAAAAUCGAGUAACGAAGUACGAACAAUAUUGUAAGACUGAGAGGAGACUUUGACCUGGUCAUCGUCAGCGUCAUCGGCGGCUGGAUCUUCAUCGGAGUCCGGCGGAUUGUCGCCGGCGACUUCGUCGUCGUCGUCAGCAGAACUGGCAGGGCGCGCCACCGCCUCGAGCUCCUCCUCGUCUUCCUCUUCGUUGAUCUGCUCGUUGACUUGCUCCUCUUCAUCGGAGGAACUCGAAGCAUUGGAGAGCGCUUCGUCGGAAGAUGAGUGUAGCUUGGAAGGUCUCGCCAUGGAUUUUGAAAUCGAACUAUUCGAGGGUUUGGUCCAGAGAGAAAUUGAAAGAGGAUUCUAAGUUUGAGGAAAAAGUAGGUGGUUGCUGUGUUUGUAGCCGUUGGAUUAAGCCAGGUUACGACGCCAAAUGGAAAUGGGGAUUUCCCGCCAUUGAUGUGGAAAUGCAUUUUGCCGCUCAGGGCCUGUCUUCAAUGGACAGCUGUGCCUUAGGCCCAAAUUAUGAAGCCUGAUAAGAAAAAGAGUAGCAAAGGGAGAUUUGUUAUUAUUAUUCUCACAAUCACAAUCAUAAUUCAAAUCCUUUCUUUAGUUUAAUUUUUUUUGGUUAUUAAUUGUACUUUUUAUCGCCAAAAUUUUAUAAUGUCUUAAAUUUUUUCCCCCAAACUUAUUUUUCAUGAAAUUUGCCUCCUGAUUUGCAAAACAUCACAAAUUUUCCAUCCACAUAAAAAAAUCACCACAAUUAAGACAUUUUGUGACAAUUUUUCCUUUAAACUAACACAAUUAAGAAAAUAUUGUGUCUUUUUUUUCAAUUGUGUCAGUUUUUAUAAAUGGGGGGAAAAUUCUAAUGUUUUGUAAAUUAAGGCACAAAAUUCGUAAACAUUGUAAAACUUUUGGAAUAAAAAGUGCAAUAAAACCUAUCUUUUAUGCAAAAAAAUCUUAAACAUAAAUAUAUUUCCAUUGUUCAUAAUACACAACAGAGGCAUGUAUUUGUUUGAUUGCAGGGUGGAUUUUACAAUUCACAAUGAAAACGUAUUUUUUGUUUUAUUUGUUUAAAACAUAACAAAACAAAACACAUGUUUUUGAUGUGUAUAUGCCACAAUGAAAACAUGUUUUCAUGUGAUUAGCAACAAUGGGAAAAAACAGGGAAAAGAAGAAUAUGACUUACCAUGAGACAAAUGUGCUAAAGCGAGGUGUGGCAGCAUGAGUUGUGUUAUGCAAAGUUAACGAACACAACUAUCAACAUUGAAGGAUAACGAUAGAGGAAAAGAAAGGAGAACGAUGUGUGGAAGUGUGUGUAGUGGGAUUAAGGUGAGAUAAAUAAAUAGGAAGGGGAAGUUGGCGUGAGAAGAUGGAGGGCAAAAUAGGAAAUUUAUUUCUACAAAAUAAAAUGGGAUGUGAACUUUACAUAUAAAGAAGUGGAAAUAACAAUAUUUGUAGGAAAGUUUCAAUUUGGGUCAAGGAUAGAAGGGCCCAUAAUAGCGGGAGUUGCCGAGUUUGACUGUUGACUGAUUAAAAAAAUAGUAGUGAGAUUUCAUUCAGUAAUGGUAUAAAUUUUAUUACAAACAUUUAUAAUAUUUUAAACAAAAAGUAUUAAGUAAAAAUUAAAUGUAUUCAAUGUCUUCAAAUUUUUUAAAUUGCUCAAUGAUUUUUAUUUAAUAAUUAAGAAGAUUUUGUAGAAUAAUUUACAAUUAUAAAUUUAAUUAUUACACAAUAAAGAUUAUCACCAAGAGUGAUUAAAGAUACCAAUUACCAAACAUUCAACAUUUGAAUUAUCAAUUUAAUAACCAACUCAACUCGAUCUUGUCUUUGAUUCCAUUCAACCUGUCAAUCUGAGUCAUUUUUUUCAAAUCUUAAGUAAAGACUAUUUUUUAAUUUUAUAAUUAUUAAUAUGAAUUUUACUCUCAGUAACAUUUUUUAUACACCAUAAUUUUUUUACAUAUUCUUGAAUAUUUAUUUUUAAAAUUAACUUCACAUUCGAAGUUGAUAUGUAUCAUGCAAAUGAAGUAAUCAUUGCAUCGUAUGCAAAUAUUAGCUUGGAUGAAGUUUUGUGAUGUUAAUUUCAACUCAAGAAAUGGCACAAAGCUAGAGAGUUAUAUGAAUUAGCUAGGGUGGAAAACAACAUUUGUACCAAGGAUGUACCAUUUUUUUAAGAAUUGUUUUUGGUAAAUUUAUAUCAAAUGUUUGUGUGAAACAAUGAAAAUGUCUUGACAAACAUUGUACAACGGUUGAAAUAUGCAUUUUAAUAUGUAAAGAAAAUAAAAAUAAAGUCAAUUUGUAGGUCAUAAUUGUGAUCACAAUAAUUAUUAAUAUCAUAUUGUUAUUAUUAUUAAAUCAUAAUCAUCAAGACAAUAACAACAAUAUAAUAAUUAUAAAAUUUUUCAUAAUUAUGGUUAUUGUUAUUAAUGUCAUUGUAAUGUUGUUAUUCCUAUUUUUGAAUUUCACCCCCUUAUUAUUGUGAUUAUCAUACAAUGGCAUGUAUCAUCAAAUGAGCUUGAAUUAUGAAGUAACAAAUAAUAGUUUAGUUUGAAUUUAAAAUUGAAAAAAUAAAAACCACAAAAAAUGGAAACAAAAUUAUAAAAUUAAAAAUCAAUUUUUUAAAAUCCAAAGCUUAAAACUAACAACCAAAAUGGACCCAAUAUAAGUUAUAUAUGCUUAUGGCUUGAUUCAAUCAUUAUAAAUGGGAACAAAAAAAAAGUUUUUGUAUUAACAAUUGAUUGGAUUUUUUAAAAAAUAAAUUCAAAAUUUUGAACGAUCUCGUCCAAUUGCUCGACGGUUUUAAUGGCCCAAGGAAAUCAAAAUAUAAAUGAAUAAUAUGAUUAUUUUUUUUAAGUUACCAGAGAGGGACAAGUGAAUAAUAUAUUUAUAUAUAUAUAUUAAUCAUAAUUAACAUUAAUAAUUAAGAAAUAAAAAAUAGUGAGAGUCAAACUAAUUCCCACCACCAAUUAUAAAUUUAUGUAUUCACGAAUAUACCCCCAUGUGUAUUAUUUAAAUUUAAAGUAUUUAUAAUUUGUUUCAAAAUAUUUUAAAAAACAAAAAGAAGGAUAAAAUUGCAGCUAUUUUUUAAAAUAAAAAACGAAUUAAGAUAUUAAGUAAAUAUAAUAAAACAUGUUUUAAUACAACAUCUAAUAAAAAAUUAUUUAAAUACCAGAUAUUAACCGAAUAUUUUUAAAUUUUAUCCACUAAAAUAAAUAAGGAAUAGAUAGAAAAAUCUCUAAGAAAUUAAAUAAUUAUCAGAAUUAUCAAAACAAACUCUAUUAAUGAAUUGUGAGCAACUUAUUAAACGUGAAUAAACAAAAUUAUAUUAUAGAAGUUGAAAUAUGUUUUUUUCCUUCUAAAAUAUUUAAAUUCAGUUCCUUAUAAAAUAUUUAAAUUUUGUUUUUACUAUAAUUUUUGUGUUUGUAUUUCGUCUUGCAAAAUUAUAUUGUGUAAAUUUUUUACUUGGAAUUAGAUUUAGACGAAUUAGAACCUAUGUAAUAUUUGUUUUUUUAGAGAAAAUUUAACAUGCUUAUCAUCUUUUUUCCUUUUUCCUUCCUCUUUUUCAUGUUCUCCUCCAAUGAGAUUACACCCACUCAAUCCUCUCAUCAAGACCCCUUUCAGCCCUUUAUGUCAAAAUUCACUAAUACUCUUGUAAUAUCUUCUUCAUCCAAACUAUGUUGUUGUCACUACCAUCAUUCUUAGACCCUCCAAAGAAUUGUAUAGUUGAGUUUCUUGAUUUGAUUUUCUCUCACAAUUCAAGAGUUCUAAAUCAUGCUAUCUAAAUCUAGAGAGGAGGACUUAAGACUACUUCCUAUCUCAUGAAUCUUAGAUUUAUUAUCUCAGGUUUAAAUUUGAUACUCCAAACCUACCAUCUAUACUAAUAAUAAAAGAAAUAUUUCCAUUUGAGGUAUACAUUUUAUUAUACCAUUUUAUCAUUUGUUAGUUUUUAUUACUUCUCUUGUAAUAAUUAUCUACUAUUCUCAUGUUUUCUUUUAACUUCUAAUAAUUUUUUCUUUUUUCUUUUUAUUUUUAGUUAAAAUAGACAAAGAAGUGCGAAAUGCCUCUCUCUCCACUAGUAUAAUAUAAUAAUAUAAUUUUAUGAGGAUGAAAAAUACAUAAAAACUUUUGUAAAGACUAAAAACAAAUUUUGAAUAUUUUAUAAAAAAAAUAUAUAUUUUAACCAAUAAAAGACAACGAUCACAAUGAAAUGUUUUAUUUGAUUGAAUUAUCCUUCAACAUCUGAAAGAUAAAAUAAAUUGAGUAUUUUAUUAUUUUAAUAAUGUUGUUGUUUCAAAUUGAAACUUUUCACGAAACUGAAUAUUCCAAGAAGAAAGAAGAAAAUUGAAGAACAAGAGGCUUGAGGGACACACACUCAAUAAUUCACAUCCAUAUACUUAUACCCAAUCUCAUCCAUCCUCGUGGCAAUUAAAUAUUAAAUAACAGCUGAGUCAAUCAGAGUGUUCCAGUACGGCACGAAAUGACUAAAUCAACCCCUGCGACGUCGUAUUUGCACUGCUUCUUCUUUUCUUCAAAUUAUUAUUGUUACGACUCUUUGACUUCUCCUUCAUCUCUUUGGCUGGAGAAAACCCUUUUCGCCGGAAAACCCACCGCAACCUUCGCGGUUCGCGAUUCCGCUUCCGGUUCCACCGUGCUCCUCUUACACACGUAUUCAACUAUUCAAUUUUCUCUUUAACGUUUCCGUUUUCUCGGAACACGUUCCCAAUUUUUUCCCCCAAUUGUGGUUGGUGUUGAAGUGAUUGAUAUUUUUCUUUAUAAAAAAAUGAUUUUUUCUUGCUUUGAUUUGUGUACUUCAAUUGCAGAGCAUAUGGGAAAAACUAGUUGGUUGAUAAUAUUGGUUACUUGUUUGUGCCUGCUUGCCUUUUCUGAUGGUAGAGGUAAAGCUUGAACUUUUGUGUUAAUGUUCUAGGGUUUGCGACAUUGUUUGUCUUGUUUCUCUCUGUUAUCUUUCAAUUCAUUGGAUUUUGUUUAGUUUUGUCUGCAAAUUGGAUCAUUCACGUUUGCAUAACAAUAAUGAAAUGUAAUGUCUUUUCCAUUUGCAGAACUCAAGGUUAGACAUAAAAAGCCUCAUUACCAAUACAAUCAUACGCUUGCUACAAUAUUAGUGGAAUAUGCUUCUGCGGUGAGUUUUAUGGGAAUUUUAUAUGUUCAACCUUUAAGAUGUGUAGGCAAAUGAUUUAGAAUUGUUUAUGUGUAUUAUUUGUUUUCUAAUCUUAUAAAUCAUGGAAUUGAAGGGUUAGCCAUGGAAUUGAAGGGUUAGUCAUGAAUUUGAGAGUUGGGAUUGUGAUGUAAUUUUAGAGUUUCAACUCCCUUUCUCUCUGUCUCUAAGCGGUUUAGUAUUUUAUAACUUUAAUGAUAAGUCUGAUUUAUGGGACUUUCAUUGUUUAUAAUAAUUCAGAAUUCCCAAAUACGUAUUCGAGACAGCUUUAGGUAGGCCACUUAAAACCAUACCCUCUUUCUUUUACUGAUAAACAGACUCAAUGAAUUUAUAUUUGCUUUGCAGAACUAAACUAAUUUAAGAAUUGGGGAACUUUCUCUUGUGCCGAUCCUGAUGGAGAGACUUCCCAUCUCUAUCAGGCCAUGGUCAAAAUAAGUCAAAGGGGGGAUAUAUUGAAGUAUAUCAUAAUAACUUCAGAAUUUAACUAAUUUCACUUGCCUGAUGCAGUGAUUCUGAAGUUUCAUUACAUCCAUUAGCCAAUUUGUUUAGGGCACUGGGAAUUCUGAAUAAAUUAUAUAAGGGACUAAGGUAGGUUUGGUUCUUGCAGGUAUACUUGUCAGAUUUAACUGAACUUUUUACUUGGACGUGCUCUAGGUGUAAUGGCUUGACCAAGGUGCUGAAAAUGUGAAUAUUGAUUUUAACUUUACAUGUUCACUUACGUCAUGAGUCAACUUUGAAUUAUUUACAUUCUGGUGUACUACUAAUUUGUCUGUUUAAAAUGGUUGGUCUAAAGAUCUUUAAAAUGGAAACAGGGAUUUGAAAUGAUAGAGUUAGUUGUUGACGUCGAGCAUUGCUUACAGGUGGGCGCUCAUCAUAGAAAAAAUUAUUCCAAAGUUUUAUACUAAUAUACUUUGUUUUAAUAUAAUUUUCAUUACCUAUUCUAGGCAUUUGUUGGAGUGGCUGAUGAUCCUUGUGCCAUUAUCAUUGCAUUCAGAGGAACAAAUGAACACAGGUGGACUUUCUUACCGGAUUAAAUUUACUUUUUAUGGAACUUUGGGCUCACAACUGUAUAGGCACCAUUAAAAUGGAUCUACCAGAGUGCAAUACCACAAUGUUGUAUGUGAUUCCUAGAACAGGCACUGUUAUGCUUUAGAAACAAGAAUGGUUUGCUUAUGCAUGUGAAUUUUGUAUGAUGUUCAUAUGCUGGUAUGCAUGCAUUGAUGGAUAUGUAAUUGUAAGCUAAGCAAAUGCAUUUAACUUGAUUUACUGUGCAUGCAAUGUAUUAUUGGCACAAUGGUGUCUUGAUUAUUUAAAUCAUAGGUGGUUAAGUAAUAUAUUGUUUCCAUAUUUAUGUGCACCAGGCAUGUGGGCAUGCCUUCUUUUAGACCCUAAAUUGAUCAGCAACAUUCUUUAGUUUUGAAAUAGUGCAGAUGGCCAUCCAGAUGUCCUAUCAUGUUUGAUUUGUUUGUACAUUAUAGAUUGUGUCUAAAGCCACAUGUGCUCUCAUAUAUUGACAUUGAGAAAGUCAGAGCAUAAUUAUCUAUAUGUGAAAGAAAUGCUUGGUCAUUGUGCUUCUUAAGAGAACACAAGUUCCCUUCUAUUGUUCACCUUUGAGAGUAUUAGAGUAUAUAGCUUGUCUACUAAGAGAACCAAUAAUUUUCCUAUAGAGAAAAAAAAGAGUCCAAAAAUAUAUGUUAAUAAGGAAACAUUUCAAGUCUGUCAGAUGUUUGGCUUACCUACGAGGCAACUUCAGUUAUAUUCUGAGCUGAUUUCUUUGUAACCACUUUUAUACAGCUUACAGAAUUGGAUUGAAGAUUUAUAUUGGAAGCAGCAUGAUAUAAAUUAUCCAGGCAUGGAUGAUGCAAUGGUGUGUAAAAGCUUAGCCUUAGGUUAUGCUCAAUUUCUCUGUAUUGGUGUUAGUUCUGACAUAUUGUUAUCACUGUCUCCAGGUACACCGUGGUUUUUAUACCGCAUACCACAAUACAACAAUACGUCCUGCAAUUUUAGAUGCUGUUGAAAGAGCAAAGAAGUUUUAUGGAGAUAUUGAAAUUAUAGCAACAGGGCAUUCAAUGGGAGGGGCAAUGGCUUCAUUUUGUGGACUUGAUUUAACGGUAAUUAUAGUUUAGCUGUCUUGGCAUGACGGGGCAUUAUACAACAAGGUUUUAUGGUCUCAAUCUCCCUUCAAUUUUUUUUUGCAUAAGUAUUGUCUAUAUUUUGCCUGAGGCAGGGACUUUGAAUUUCAUGUGGAAGUAUCAUAUUUGGAAAGUGUUUUAUUUUUUUAUUAAUGUUAGAAAUUUAUAUAGCUUGUCCUAGGCUUGGGUAAAAGUGGAGUGCUAUAUUAUGCAAUCGAUGGCUAAUAUGGAAAUUUGUAAAAUCAUUUAUGUUCUGGAUCAAUGAUGUUGCAGCGCACCUUUUGAGGAGAAAAUGACAAACUUUCCUAAGAUGGCACUAGUUUGGUCACGUGAAUAAUAUCCAAAGUCCAAACUGCAAAAUUGUGUUAUUAUUACUUUUUAAAGACCAUUAUUUAAGUUCUCAUGUAGUCAUUUCAAGAUUUCUGUAUUUUAUAGGGACGAAAUGGUUACUUAUUUGAUUUUACAUUCUUACAGGUAAAUCAAAAUGAAAAAAAUGUUCAAGUUAUGACAUUUGGACAACCUCGUGUUGGAAAUGCUGCUUUUGCAUCUCUCUAUACCAAACUAGUUCCAAAUACCAUCCGAGUCACAAAUGACCAUGAUAUUGUACCUCAUUUGCCUCCAUAUUAUUAUUAUUUACCGCAGAAGACAUACCACCACUUCCCAAGAGAGGUAGGGCAUGGCAUAAUGAAAUGAUGAAAUUUGUAUACUAAACCUGUUAUAUUGUCUUUAAAUUAAAGUCAGCUUGUCUCCUUGUUUGUGGGAAUUUAUGACUAUGUCAUCUGCUGUUUGUCCUUUGGUAGCCAUUAGAUAUUUUUGUGAAUAUUGGAAAUAUUUUUUGCAUAUCUUUAUUAAUAUUAAUAUAUUAAAUUGCACCUAGUUAUAAAUGGCCACUCUUCUGUGCGUUUGUAAUAACUCUCAUCUCCUUCAUUGCAGCCAUAUUUUUCCUACCCAUUCAAAUUCUGUGUUUACUUGUCACUAAAAUCUCCCUCUUCACCAUUUCUGAUAGUUUUGAAAACAUUAGGAAUAAUGCUUGCAUGUUAAUUUGUUUGGACAAUUAUAGUUUGGUGCUUGUGUGUCAUUUUGGCGUGACUUAAUUUGAGAUACCAUCUCUCCCCUGUGCCCCCAGCGAUGUGAAUGUGAUAGAGGUUCCCAUUUCCAAGCUCUUAAAUAUAUAUAUUUUGUGCCUUAUCUGUCUGCUUGUUUGUUGCUUGGACAACGCAAUAACUUUAGUGUUGGUCAUUCUGUUGUCAUGAUCUAUGACUCCUUGUUUAUUUAUUGUGGGGAGUGCAAACCUAUGGCACUUGUUUAAUUUGUUUUCCCAAUUGUUCAAGAACCUAAGAACUUGUGGACUGCAGGUUUGGCUUUAUAACAUCGGAUUAGGUAGUCUUGUGUACAACGUUGAGAAGAUUUGUGAUGAAUCUGGUGAGGAUCCGGAUUGCAGCAGGUUAGUCUAUCUGUUCUGCCAUAAUGCCGCUAAAAAUGUAGACUUCAUGAAUUUGCCACUGCAUGGGUGUGAAUAAAAUUUAAGAGUUUCCCUUAAUUUUGGUGUUACGAUCGAAUGCUGCUGAAAUUUGAUUUGGUUAUCUAAUGCAGGUCGGUGACUGGGAAUAGCAUUGCUGAUCACUUAGUCUAUUAUGGCGUAGACAUGGGAUCAGAUGAGCCUAGUUCAUGCAGAAUUGUUAUGGAUUCUCAUGUUCAGAAUACUAGCAUCAGAGAUUCAAGAGGAAACUUAAUCUUGUCCAGAGAUCCUGCAACCCCCCUCAUCAAAUUGGGUGGAGAGGGUGACAAUCAGGAAAAUCCCAUUAAUGUUGAUUGAAUUGGCAUUAGAUAUCUCUUGCAUGAUAUGUUCCAGAGGUUUGCUGUGGGGCAUUAUACUUCAGAUUUAUUUUUUCUUCACGGUCCAUACAGCUGAACAAUUUUAUUGAAUUGGCUAGGGCUGGAAGGAGUUUGUAUAGUCUUUGACUCGUGUAUAUAUGUUCAUCCUUGUAUAUAUAAUUAAUAAUUCUAUAUUUUUUACUGCAUAAGUAAUAAUUCUUGAUACUUUGUCAAUUGUAUAAUUUCACUUUCAAAUUCUACUGAAUUCCACUCCUCAUUUGGGUGAUAAUUCUUUUUACCCAUUGUCGUAUCCAAAGUUUAAUUUUACUCAAUUUCUCUGUUUCUCCAAAGUGUCUAUUAGGCUAAUUUUUUUAAUUUACAUUUUGUUCGGAGAUAUAUUUCCAUUAUCAACCACUUUAAAAUUGUGGAUUUAUUCGGUGUUGGCAAUAAUCACAAUCAUAACAUGACAUAAUUUGUCAAAAACUCUUGUAUUAACUAAUUUGUAAAAACUCUUGUAUUAACUUCACUAAAGUUAAUUUUUAACUUUAUUUCGUUUCUCUUCUUAUUUUUGUCUUUUAUAAGUGCUCAUGAUGAGAAAUUUGUCCAAAUAGGGCUUAAACUCAUUUGGAUGUGUUUGUUCAUUCAAACGUGUGUAUUCUGCCUUAAACGUGAAUUUAAUGUGAUUUUUAGAACAAUCAGACCUAAAACUAAACAUGCUAUAGGAGUGGGGAGAAAGAGAGAAAAUGCAUGCGAGAGGAGAAAAACUAGUUUUUUUUAGAUUAAAAUAUAUUUUUCAUCCUUGUGAAAUUGAUAAAAUACUGAAUACACAUUUGUAAAUUUUUUAUUAGUUUUUCAUUCUCAUAAAAAUAUAAUGUGUCAUUUUUUUUUAUAAGAAAUAAGGUUUGAUUAUAUCUGAAUCUAUGAUAAUGAUUUUUUUUUACAUUGAUUAUACAUAUAAUUGAUGUAAAAAAUUUAUACAUAUAAGUUUGGAUCAAAUAUCUAAAUCUUAUUUCAAACAAAAAAUGACACAUUAUAAAUUUAUGUUGACCAAAACUAAUUACAAGUAGGAUAAAAUCUGAAUUGUCAUUUUUACAAGGAGAAAAAAUAUAUUUGUUUUUUUUAAACUCUUUCACUUGAUAAUUUUAUAAAAAGUUACUUAUUUUUCUUUUAUCUUUUUAAUAAAAUUAAAAUACUUAUUUUUUUAAAGGAUUUUUCAUAAAGUGGAUUUGACCCAUUUUUUAUAGACUUUACAAUGUUAAUCUGAAUAUACAAAUUUUGUCAGGCUGUAUACUGGUUUUGGUAGAGUUAUCCAUCAUGAAUAACUUAUUUGAGGCAAUUUUUCUUCUUCUUAGGACUCUUUCCUCCUUUGAUUUACCAAAAGAAAAGUCAAAUACAGAAGAUCCACUUUUCGGAUAAAAUAGAUUCUGCCCAUACAGUAGACAAGUAGUAACUUAGUGGCCUAUAAUUUGUUCAAAAUUAAAAUGAAUCCCGUAAGUCUACAUUAAAAACGUGAAAAAUGUCCAACCUUCAAAAAGUUUAGUUCGAAUUGGCACAUAAAAUAAAAAUGGACAGGGUUAAUAUUUGUAUUUGAUAACCAAUUUACGUAUUCAUGUAAGGAUUUAUUAUUAUUUUUUUUCUUUUGAGAAAUUGAAUUUAUUCUUUCUUUCUACUAAAUUAAUCACGUCAAUUAAAUCAACGAUUAAAAUAAUAAGAGAUUUGACGGUACAACAUACUUAACGCUGAGGGUUAUAGAGCCCUCAUCCUCCUUGUCCUUGAUGAUACUUUUUCGACCUUCAUUUCUUUCCAUUAAUUAUUGAUAGCAUUAUAACAAAGAGGUUGCUUGUCCUUCUCUAGAAUUUUCAAAUUAAGUUUCAUUUAAUUUGUUGAUCUCACGAGUGAUGAAAGCUACGAUAAUUACAAUAUCAUUGUCAUCGGUAACUAUGCUUCUAUGUUAGAGAAUAUUAAAAAAAAAAACCUUACUGUAUUUUUAGGAUAUUGAUUAAGUAGAAAAUACUUAUUAUAUAAAUAUAUGAUAGUGUAAAAAUGAUAAUAGAUAACACAAAUUUUCACCUUCCAAUAGAAAAAUCAUGAUUAAUAAAUUAAAAUGAGUAAAUAAUUAUUGUGUAAAUUAUAAGAAAAAAUAUUUAUUAGUUAACAUUUGCCUAUUUUAAAUUAGAAUUACCACACUUUAGAUUCUCAUAAGAAAGAAAAGAAUGAAUGAAGUACUAUAACUGUUCCAUUAUCUCCAACUUGUUACAUUUUGAGAGGACACAGAAAAGGGAAACGAAGUAUAAUUAAAUCCAGGAUGAAAGAUCAACACAGACCACAAAAGCUAUCACAUAAAAGUAACCAGAAUGAUAUCUGUAUUAUCUCCAAUUGCCCUUAAUCUCCUCUGGUUUUUCACAUCUUCGCUGGUUGUUGGAUUCUCUAUUGUCCCUGCUGCACAACAAACAUGUCUCCAUAAAUUCCUUUCACACAACUAGCACUUGUGACUAAUUAAUGUGUGAAAUUUUGUUAACCCCACAUACCUCCUCAGCUUUCAUAUCCUUUUCUUCACCUUCAGAGGUUGAAGUGUUUGUGUCUUUUAUGUCUUCUUCUUUCUUCACACUGACAUCCUCUGUACACAUAUAAAAGCAAAUUAAAAUUUUAAAAAAUGAUUCUCUCAUAAGUCGUGAAGGAAGAAAUUAUUACAUGACAUGCAGUUGAGUUUUAUUAGCUUUUUCCUGUAAAUCAAAAAACUUGAUUACGUGUCACAUAAAAAUUAGUUAUGACUAUGGACAUAUGAUGGUUUCAACCACGCAAUAAUUUCUCCGUAAAGGGGUAUGAGAUGACACAAGAGAAAUAGAAGAAAGAAAACAAGAUGUGAUGAGUAAUGUAAAAGAGGAAAUUAGAAAAGAGAGAGAAAGGGAAAUUCAGUGUUGAAGGGAUGUAAGACAAUGUGAUGUAAAAGAAUAAAAGUUGUUAAAAUUUAUACUCAAUCACUUGUGCUUGAAAUUUUUUAAGAAAAUUUUAUGCAAAAAUGACUAAAGGGUUCAAGGGAAUUUUAAGUUCCAUUUGAAGAAAACUCUAGAGGUUCAUUCUUUCCACACCUUUUUCAUUUUCUGCUGGCGUUUUCUCUUCUGUAGCAUCAUCAGUUUCAGCAUCAUUGAUCUUCUGUUCAUUCUCCUUCAAUGUAUUAUCUUUCUCAGACUCAGACUUCUCCUCUCCACCCUCAUUUUCCUCCUUCUCUUGCACAUUUGUUUUCUCAUCUUUACCUUUGACAUCAUUAACCACUACAUCAGACUCUUUGACACUUUCACUCUCCUUCUGUUCCACUUGUACCUCUGACCUCACAUUGUCAACAAUAUUGUUGUUUUUUGUGUCUUUGGUUUCUGUCCCAUUUUCCUGGCUGCUCACACCGGAUUUCUUGCGCUGGAGGACGGUGUUUCCUGAAGCAACAUCAUGUUUGGACUUCCCACAACCCAUGUCUUGGAUUAGUUUUCCUAGUUUUUAUGUGAUCUGAUUAAGGUAAUAAGGGAAAACACACAGAAACAGAAGGAAACUUGAGAUGAAGGUUGGAAUGUAACAAGUAAUAACUCUCUUUUAUAUGAAGAGGAGAGACAUGGUUUGUGUUGUUAAUUGUUAUGGUUUAACAAUGAAACUUUGGGUUGCAUGGGUGUAAUUAGGGGUCAUGGAACCAACUUUUUAUUUAUUUAUUUCCUGUGCUAUAAUUGGAACUUUGUUACGGCAAUUAGUUGCCUUCAUUGAUGGAAAAAAGACAAUGUAAAGUUGUUGGUUACAACUAGAAACUGCCUUAGCAAACCAACUUUGUUUUCUGUUUUUGGGUUUCCCCCUCCUUUCGAGAUUAGCAAUAUUGAGAUUUGGGUUCUAGGUUCACCAAGAAAGAGAAAAUACUUUGGCAAAAAUCCUUUUUGAAGCGUUUUCAAUAAGAUUUUGAAUUUUUGAUUAUAAAUUAUAUUGGAAUGGAAACUAAGCUAAUUCAAUAAAUGUCAAUAAAAAGUUUGUCUGGUUGAUCCUAGAGACUAGAGCACAUUAUUUUUAUUUUCAGCAAAUAGCUACUUAUAAGUAUUACAAUAUUUCUUUUAAUAUAACCCAUAUAGGAUGGAUCGAUCCAAGAGCACCUUAUUUUUAUCUAAUCCAUCUGGGAUUUGGUUUUGGUCUUUCAAAAAUAAUUUUCAACUAUUAACAAAAAUAUGCAUCCUUUAUGCCUGAAUAUGAUUUGGGGGUGCAACUGGCAAACUCAUGUUUGAGCUAGUUCCAACUCCGAGACCAACAUGAUUAUAUCAAGUGGAUUUCUUUUUGUGCCUUUUUUUUCUGAGGGCAGCCCUUUCUCACUCUCUCCUUCAACAAUACCCUUAUAUAUGUGGUUAAUUUUAUUGUUUUGGAAAUUAAAUUUGAAAGUGAGAAAAUUAUGUAUACUUUUGAAAAUUAAUUUCUAGAAGGGUUCUUACAUAGUUUUGAAAGUAGUGUUGAAAUUUUAUCACUUCCCAAACAUAAUUUAUGGAAUGAUAACACUAAACAAAUGUAAAAAAAGAAUAAAAAUUGAAAUAAAAAAAAAAAAAGAAAGAGAUGUGCUUAGAGAAAAAGAGUGUGCAAAAUGUAAUGGCCUUGUGUCGAAUAAGUGAUCACUGAAGGUGCAAGAGUAUAUAAUAACGAGCGCAUAUGAUGCUAAUUUAAUUUCAAGAGGCAAAAAGACUCAGAAAGAAACUAUAUUAACAUCCUUAUUUUGCUUAGAAAUAAAAUAAUUUGUUACCUCUACUAGCUCAAGUAUAGAAAGUCUUAAUAUGUUGUCAUUUGCCACUUACAAGGUUAACUAAGAAUCACAGAUAAUUGGGAUAUACUGCAUGCAAAAUCAGUUUCAAUCUUAACACAAAUUGCAGUGAAUGGAAAACAUAUUUUUAGCAGUGCAGAGAAACAAACACGGUUACUGCAGAAAACUGGCAAAGUUCAAUAAUAAAGCUGAAUGCGUUGCCUUGCAUAUAUAGUUGCAUGCUGAAAUCUAUAAUAAGGAGCCAAAUAUAUACAAUUGACUAGUUGGUAUAAAUAAUCGAUUAUGGUUCACAGAUGAGAAUCUUUACAUUACUAAGCUAAUGUGGAAGGAACGUGCUUACAUCUAUGCAUUGAACUUGGGCGAAAACUUGAAUUAUUUUCAUCCAUGAUCAAGUUCCAAUGCAAAAUUUAUUUGGGUGGAGAUGGCUUAUUAUACAGCAUUAGCUCACGUGGAAAUCGGUAUUAUUUGGGUGACAUAUUUUGUUAUGAAUAACGAAAGGGUAGGUCCCAGAAAAUGUAAAACUAUGUGAUAUAGGAGUGUUUUUAUUUUUACUAAAAAUAGAAAAUAAUGAUAAAUAUAUGUUUGGUUAGAUUUUUGAAAAUAUUUAUAAUGAAAAUGAAAAUAAAAAAUAACCCGCAAAUGAAAACAGGGAUCUCAUCUUGGGUAGAAUGAAAAUGAGAUAGCGUAAUUUUAAGCAAAUUUAAAAAUAUAAAAAAAAACAAAAAGUCAAUGUAUCAUAAAUUUUUAGUAUUUUUAUUUCCUAAAAAUAAAAAAUAAAAAAGUCAAAUCAAACAUAUUUUCAGAAUUCUAAUUUUUUAAAAAUGAAAACAGUUUUCAGAAAAUAAAAAUAGGAAAUGAAAACAAAAAAUAAAAAUGCAAACCAAAUACACCCCUAGUUCUUAAAACCAAAAAAAUUCAAAAUAAAUUCUUAAAUUUUUUAAUUGUUUAAUUUAAAUUCUUAAAUUUAACUACACAUUUGUUAUCACUUUAAACCCUAAACAUAUGUUAAUAUUAUAAUUUAAAUCAAACGAUCUUAUGAAUUUUGGACUAAAGUGAUGGGUAGAAUAUGACUUCUAAACCCUAAACAUAUGUUAAUAUUAUAAUUUAAAUCAAACGAUCUUAUGAAUUUUGGACUAAAGUGAUGGGCAGAAUAUGACUUCUUGCUUCCGGGAACUAAUGUGACAGUGAUAUACACUUCGGAUCAUAAUCCGAUAACAACAAUUCAUGUACAUAACAGAGUUGCAAAGCAAAAACAAAUCACAGGGGACAGAACAUUUUCAUGAGGAUUGGCAAGGAAGGGCCUAGGUUUAGAACUCAUUAAAAUAGAAUUGAUUCCAUUUCAUUUUAUUAAACAUGUUAUUUAAUAAGGAUAAAAAGAUUAAUCUAUACAAUUAAAAUCAAUACUCAGCAAAUCCUAGCAAAUAGAGUUAACAAAAUAAGGCAGAAAUUCAUGAAAUUUUAAAAUCAUUGCAUUUUUAUUUUUUUUACAUUAAAACACAAGAUUGGGCUAUUUUUCAGCAUUCCAAAUUCUCUCAAUAAUCUCUCUGAAAUCAAUAUGGUGCUAUACAUUGUAAAUUCACUCAAUAAACUCUAGCAUUUUAAAAAUUUCACAAUUCAUUUUACCAAUUGUAAAUCUAACAAUUUAUCCUAAUAGUCCAGCCCAAUGAUCUUCAUUUGAAUUACUUCAAAGUUCAAACAAUACGUCAAUCUUUGAACUCUAUUUUACAAAGUUAUACCUCACAACUCACAAGAGAAUCAGCUUAAUUGUUUUUAACAUCAAUCUGUCAAUAUAUUUGUCAAUCGUGUCACAAUAUUUCUGUACAGAGCACAUAUAAUCUAAUAUUGUAAAUUUGAGUUUCGUAGAUCACAGAGACGGACAUACCCCCCUACCCAAAAAUAAAUAAAUAAAUGAAUGACAUGAUUCAUGCGUGUGCCACUUGAUCAUGGUGCACGAAUCUCGAAGCCCAACACCCCGUGGUGUUUUUUCUCUCCCUUAAAAAAUUAGAAAUGAAUAAUUGAUGAAGAUGGCCCUUGAAAUUAAAAUUGCGGCGUCACGAUGAUAUCGAGAUCAAAUUAUUACUAGUCUAUCAAGUAGUUCAGUCCUUUGCUUCUUUCAUAAGAAUUUUUUAAGAAAAAUGUUUUUACAAGUUUUUUUAUUUUAUUCGUAGUCAAACUAUACUUAUUCAUCUACGUAUAAAGAUUAGAGAUUUAUUUAUUUAUAACUAAAAAAAAGAGAUAUAUUUAUUUAUAGAAUGUUUUUAUACUAUUUAACAAUUUUUUAUUUUUUAUAUUUCUCUUAAUUGCAGAAGUUUAUUUCUUCAAAAGUACUGCAACUGUCAUUGGGUCUAAUUCCGGAAAUUGAUUAAAUAAGACCCCCCAAAAAAAUAAUAGUGCAACUGCUGAGUCAAAAUUGUCUUACAAGACGGUUUGUUUUCUUGGUUGGCCUUUUCCAAAUCUAAAAAUCCCAUUGGUAGAUCCAACGGUCACAUCUCUUUCUGUUAAUUAUUGUUGAAACUCAUUACAUCCUCUUGUCUUCUGUCAUGCCAAUCCUUUCCCACCACACCACCUUAUCCUUUUUCUUUCUCUCUCUUACCAAGUGGAUACAUUCUAUUUCUUAUCAAUUUUGGUUAGUAGCCAAAGAUUUUUGAUACUAUUACAUUACAUUGCAUUAAAAUACUACUACAUAAUAACAACAAUGGCUUGCUCCUCCUCCUUCCUCUUUCUUUGUCAAUAUCAACACCAACAGAAUCUUCCCAUUUCAGGAAACUCUUCUCUCAGCCUUCCUUCCCGGCCUUUCUUUUCCAAAACUCAUGGAAGGUUCUAUCCUUGAACGUCUUGAUUUUGGGAAGAUGGGAUACGGGUACCUCAUCUUAUGUUAUUCUUCCAUGCCCUUAUUCUUUUCAUUUUGAUUUUUUUUUCGUUCAUUGUGUUUUGAUUUCGGAUCAAAGUUGGAUACAGUUCCUUAAGUGUUGUUUGUAUUGUUCUCCACUUAGAAUUGUUAAUUCGCGUAAUCCUUUUAAUGCAAACCUUUGUUAUCAGAAUUAUCGAGGUGAAAUUCCAAUUCCGAUUGAAAAAUAACACAAAAAACACCUAAGGAAUUUAUUUAAGUUUUGUCCAUUGGUUUCUUGUUUUUGAUGAUGUCAAUGGCCUUUUGUAGGUGCAAGCAUUAUAGAAGAAGAUGCAGGAUUAGAGCACCAUGUUGCAAUGAGCUCUACUUUUGCCGCCAUUGUCAUAACGAGGCAACGGUAUUUCUUGUUCUCACCCUUCUGUGUUUCAUCUCAAAAAACCUUGUCUUUUUGCUUUUAUCUGAUGUGGGUGUGUGUUGUUCCCCGCAUCAGAGCAUGCUGAGCAACCCUUUUGAUCGGCACGAACUCAUUCGCCAGGACGUUCAACAUGUAAGGAUAAUUUAAUGUCCCACUUGAUAUUCAUUUUCCACACUGCCUUGGUUAUUGUUGCCUUUAUCAUGAGAUGAUGGUAAUAUGGUUUUUGCAUUUUGAUGUUGUUUCAGGUUGUUUGUACAGUUUGUGACACAGAGCAGCCAGUGUGUAUCUAAUAUCCAUUCCCAUUUUGAUUAAAAACUAUGUUUUCUUUUUUAAAUGUUUCAUUUGUUUCUUUUGAAGGUUGCUCAAGUUUGCACAAACUGUGGUGUCAGAAUGGGAGAAUAUUUCUGCAGCAUCUGCAAAUUCUUCGAUGAUGAUGUAAGGGGUCACUGAACGAAUCUACAGUAUAUGAUUAAAAUUUGCUUCAUUAAUAUACUUAUAUUACUUUUACUUUGGGUUCUUUAUAUAUCUUGGGGAUGGACUUGUUUGAGAGUUGACAGUUGGUGUUUGCUUCUAGCCUGUGAUUGUUAAUCUUACUGUUUUCUAUUUGAUACUGAGCAUUGGUUACACAUUAUGCAGACCGGGAAACAACAGUUUCAUUGUGAUGAUUGUGGGAUUUGUAGGUGCGUUGUUUGUUCGUUUGAAUAAAUCCAUCCAUUAUGGCCUUAGUUAUCCGAGUUUAUGACAUGCUACUAAUUUUGGUGAUGAAAUUUGGAACAGAAUUGGUGGUCGAGAGAAUUAUUUCCACUGCAAUAAGUGUGGUAUGCAUUCAACAUCUAGCUACCAUUGUGUCUCUUUCAUUGCUUGAGUAUAAAAAAGUGUUUUUUCCUUUUUAAAUUAAGUUAUGCUGUAAAUUGUUACUUUCAAAUUGUUAAAAGAUUCAAUUCUUUCUUACCUUGCUUUUUUUUGAACUUAUUACCUCUUUAUCUAUUUAUGUGAAGUGCUGAAAUCACAUUUGAAUUAAUUUAAUUAUAGUAAUCAAUAGAGUUUGCAUGGUAAGUGUAUAUUCCAUGACCUGAAAGAAUUAAAAACCAUGCUAUCAGCCUCUUAGUGACACCAGAAGUUCAGAAGCACUGCUUUGUAUUGAUUAACUCUGCUGUUUUUUCCUGUAAUUGUGGAUUUAUUUUGAUUAUAGCUUCCAAAUCAUUUUUUUUUUGUAGUUGGAAUGGAAUUAUUAUUUUUUUUAUUACAGUAUGCGAGUUUCCUAAACUUAUAGCUUUAUUUUCGUUUUUGCACAAGUAAUUUCUUAUUUCAUGUGCUUGCUAAUGCAAUGGAGCUGAAAAAAUAUUUUUCAAACUCAUCUCUUGAUCUAUGGUAUCUGAUAAUUUUGUGAACAGUAUGUUUCAUUUGUGCUAUAAUUUUCUCUGAAUUUCUCUAAGAUGGAUUCUUUUGUUUCCUUUGGAAUUUAGAGGCACACCUAAUAAUCAUUCACAUCAGUUACUGAAUUUUUUGUUCUGUUAACAAAUCAAUUGCUCAAUACUAACAGGGUCUUGCUAUUCAACUAGUCUGCGUGAUAAUCAUAUGUGUGUGGAGAAUUCCAUGAGGCAUCAUUGCCCCAUUUGUUAUGAGGUGAGUGCAUUGUUCCCCUCUUUUCCUGUCUCAUGUUUUCAACCAAGCAAGGAAUUUCUAGCAUUUUGUCGUGAGAAACAUGAAAGGAUUCUGAUAUGACUUCAUUAUAUUGGUAUAGUACCUUUUUGACUCAUUGAAAGACACUGCUGUUAUGAAAUGUGGUCACACAAUGCAUAGUGAAUGUUACCUAGAGAUGCUAAAGCGUGACAAGUGAGUAUUAACUAUUUACCAAUUCUUCGGUCUAUGCUUAAUUAUUGAAUUGACUUGUUAAUAUACAUGGAUCAGGUAUUGUUGUCCCAUAUGCUCAAAGUCGGUGAUGGACAUGUCUAGGGCAUGGAAGAGAAUUGAUGAAGAGGUAGUUGGUUAAAUUAUAUAGAUGCUUUCACUUGAUUCCUUGGUUUUUAUAUGGUUCAAUAAUCUGGAAGAUUAUUUACUGGCAGAAAUGAUGUAGUACAAUUAUGAUGUCUUACUCAUUUAUUUUUGCUAUAUUAGAUUGAAGCAACUGUCAUGCCUGAUGAUUAUCGGUACAGAAAGGUAGAGUUUUGCUCUUAGAAAUGCUUUUGAAUGCAUUCUACUUCUAUUUAUCUCCAUUUCAUGUGCUUUCUGUGAAAACCUGCAAAUUAGACUAGAAUGUGCUUUUAAAUUAUGAAUGCCCUUCUUGUCCUUUGUGUCCAUGGAACAAAGAACACCGUAUGGAUGAGUUAGACUUUCUAGCAAACCUACUUAUCUAAAGUUUGACAUGCCAUUUUAGGUUAAAUUACUCAGUUGAUCCUAAACUAUUUGGAAAAUUUCAAGCAGGUUCCCAAGCUAUUUUUUUAAAAAUCAUUUUAAUUUGAGAGUUGAAAAUUAUCAAAUAGUUUAGGGACUAAUUUAACUUAAAGCAUCUAAUUUAAUUACACAUGUAUAUAUCAUGGUUCUAUCAGAAGAUUUAUAAACAACAACCAUUGCAGGUUUGGAUACUCUGUAAUGACUGUAAUGACACAACUGAAGUUUACUUCCAUGUUCUUGGGCAAAAAUGUGGUCACUGCAGUUCAUAUAAUACUCGCGCUAUAGCUCCCCCUGUUCUUCCUCAAUGACCAGAUACUUAUGGUUUUGGAGACAAAUUUUUCCGGGCAGUAAAUUAAAAUUAUGACUCAUUUAUUGUAGAGCCUUAUUUGAUUCAUCAUCAAGAUUAAUGAUGUACUAUGCCCUGAAACUUAUCUUGGGUUAUUCUUCCUCCACCAUUUGGAGUGGGACUGGUGGUUUUGUUAUGAGGCACUAAUUGGGCUGAUAUAAACAUGGGUAUACUGUAAUAUAGAGAAUGUGGUUUAGUCAGCAUGAGCUACUAGUAAUUGUGUUUACUAGUGAUGUAUUGAUGUUGGAGGAUGGAUUGGCUUGUCUUUGCCAUUAUUGAAUUUAAUCAACACAACUCAAUGAUUUCUUCCCUGCAUAAAUCAAUCAUAUGCUAUUACCUUUAUAGUGAUUGAUUUGUUAUGAUUCAACGUACAUAUUGUGUUAUACAAUUCCAUUUAUCUAUAAUAACAAUCUCCUUUUCCCUUGAUCACUGCCAUAAGUUAUUCCACAUUAUCAAACAGAAUAGAUUUGGAAAGGGAAAUGAAUUGGAUUAAUUUUUUGAAUAAUUGCAGUUAAAACAAUGCUAUUUUUGGUGGUUACACUUUUACAAUCAAGUGAUUACUUGGCAUUGCUAAGUUUUGCUGUUUCUGCAAUGUUAAAUCAAAUCAACCUUCUUUUUCUUCAUGAUACAUAGGUUAUAAAGACUAUGAUAUGUUGAUAUUAGUUGAAUCUUGGAUGCUCCUUUUUCUGUUCUACAUGUACUCCGCAUAUAGAAAUCGAAUCAUUCAAAGCAAGUGCUCAAAAUAAUUUCAGAUACGUGAAAAACAAAGCAGUAGAAGAACUACAUAUACAAUAAAUUUAGAAUCAAAUAAUGUGAUUUAGAUGAUUAAAAAUACCCCCUUGAAUACCAGGGAGGAAGCCAAAUCUGAAAUUAUUUUGAGGUUUGUAGAGACUUUGAUAAAUUUGAUUAGAGAGUAUUAUUAUCAUCGAACAAAUCUGAACAUUUUUUAUACGUCGAAUUAUUAAAAAAAAUUAUGUUUAAAGUUAGAAUUUGUAAUUCAAAAUGCAUCAACCACGUACUAAGAUGCAGCAUAUGUCCGUACCCCAAAAAAUAAAAUAAAUUUACCAAAAAAAAAAAGAUGCAGCAUAUGUUGCACCUCCCUAAUAGAAACCAAAAUGAACC
rnacentral:lncRNA from 1 species